CGCCCUGUUACAGCAGGUGCUCUCACUUUGUGGGUCCUUAUGUAACUGCAUGGUGUUAUUCAGGAUCGCCCGUUCUACAUUGUGUGACGCUGCUGCCGUGUAUCCUAGUUACUUGUUUCUGGCCUGCAACAUGAGCAUCCCUGACUACGUGCAGUGUGCUGAGGAAUACGAGACUCUCCCCGUGGCCGUCCAACCCGUGGGGAUCAUUUCAGAGGACAAUUUCUUUUGCAUCUAUAAAUGAAUCUCCUUGGUGAGCCAGAUCAGCCCGUGCGGCUCCCAGUGGGCACUCUGUAUCCACUACAGGCACCACUAUGUGUUCGAGAAUGGGUGGAGUGACUUCCAGACCCACCGCACGGUCGUGGGCCUUGUCACCAUUACCGACUGCCUCUCGGCCAAGGUCUUCGAGAAGCUCCAUGUGCAGAGGAGCUGUAUGGCACCACUCUUAAUGACUCUCAGCUCUUUGUCUUUGUGCUGCAUGGGGAGGUAGCCGAGCAGCCGCGCACCAACGUGGCCUUCAAAUUACGAGUACUGCAGGGUGGUGGAGAAGAGGAUCGAGGACUUCACUGAGUCACUCUUCAUCUUGCUCAAGUCCAAGUGGCUGGAUGGGACCCCUUGCUCAAGUCUGGGGAAAGGAUCCCCCUCCUCUGCACCUUGUUUGAGAAGGAGGACUUCAUGGGACUGGACACAGACAGCAGAUCGUUUUGGUUACUGAGACCCUCGAAUUCCCAUAUGAAUUAUAACAGCAACAAUCAGUUUUUGCAGAGGAGCCCACUGGGAUUGUGAUCGAGACCACAUAGAAUAUACGAAUCACUCUGGGGAGCACUGCCAUUCCAAGAGCACUGUCUUCUGAUCCAGGAAUUACGUGGCGUGUCUGUCCAGGAUCUGAGGAGCAGGAGCAAGGAACGCAGGGAGAGAUCCAGGAAGACAUCUGACUGUUAAGAGACGACAGUCACAGCCACACGGGGAGCGAGGACACUUGCAGCAAAGUAAAACAACUUCACAACUAUUGCAUCAGAGCUGCCGGUGUGAGAGAGCCUAAGCCUGUCUCAGAGUGCAGGGGACAAGCGGAAAGGAAUGUGUAAGAAUGCUGGUGACUGAGUUAGAAGCAUGCUUCGAAGCUGUCCAUGUCCUUGCCAUCCAGAAGCAGAGCCUUGGAGCUUCCGAAUUUCUGCAGAAUGCGGUUUACAUUCACCUUCGACAGCAUUCCUAGGAGAGAAUUCAGCAGUGCAGCAUCCUCUCCGAGCUCUAUGAGUUGAUCGGCUUCCACCGCAAGUCCUCCUUCUUCAAGCGGGUGGCCCCCGUGCAGCGCGCGGCCCCCGGCAUCACGGAGCCUGGCGGGAAGGCCUGCUACCGACUCCUUCUGCAGACGCUUCCUGGCUACAGUCUGUCGCUGGAUCUGCAGGACUUCAGCAAAGGUGUUGGAACUAAAACAUUGCUUCAGUCCCAUUAACCAUGCCUGGUUUGGGCCCUGCUGUCCUGUCUCAUCAGGGUGAAUUCUGAUUCGUUUAGAACAGAGCUCAGCAGACUUUUUCUGUCAAGGGCUUGGGAGUAAGUAUUUCAGGGUCUGCAAACCUCCUGAUCUCUGGUGCGGCUGCUCAGCUCUGCUGUUCAGACGCCAGAGCAGCCGGACAUUCCACACACCCACAGAGCAUUAUUAACAGCGGUGGCUGGGGCUGGAUUCAGUGUAUGAACUGCAGUUUGUCCCCACAGCCUCCUCACUAUUGACGCCUGCACCAGAGCGUGCAUUUGCGACAAUGGGUGAACCUGCACUGACACGUCAUCAUCACCCAGAGCCCAGACUUGACACUAGGAUUUACACUUGGUGGUGUGCACUCUGUGGGUUUGGACAGAUGUGCAAUGACAUGUAUCCACCGUCACAGCAUCAUACAGAGUAGUCUGUCUUAGUUACCUUAAAAUGCUCCGUGCUGCACCUCAUUCAUUGCUCCUUCCCCUCUAGCCUCUGACAGCCACUGAUCUUUUAGUCUCUGUGGUUUUCCCUUUCCAAGAACACCAUACAGUUGGAAUCAGACAGUUGCGGAACCUUCCCAGAUUGGCUUCUUUCACUUAGUAAUAUGCAUUUAAGGUUCCUCCAUGUCUUUCCAUGCCUUGAUAACUCAUUUCAUUUUAGCACCAAAUAAUAGUCCAUUUUCUGGCUGGACCACACUUUAUCCAUUCACCUACUGAAGAACAGCUUAGUUGCUUCUGAGUUCUGGUGAUUAUGAAUAAAGCUGCUAUUAACAUCUGUAUGCAAAUUUGUGUGUGGACAUAAGUUUCCAUUUCGUCGAGUAAACACCAAGGAGCACAAUUGCCGGAUCAUAUGUUAGGAGUACGUUUAGUUUUGUAAAAAAUUGCCAGACCGUCUUCCAAAGUAUCUGGGCCAUUUUACAUUCCCACCAGCAAUGCAUGAGAAUUCCUGACGCUCCACAUCCUCACCAGCAUUCGGUGCUGUCAGUGUUCUGAGUUUUGGCAGUUCUGACAGGUGUGCAGUGGUACCUCGCUGUUUCAGUCUGCAUCCCCUUGAUGACAGAUGCUGUGGAGCAUCUUUCCAUAGACUUCUUUGGCAUCUAGAUUUCUUCUUUGAUGAGGUGUGUGUUCUGGCAUUUUGCUCAUUUUUUAAUCAGGUUGUUCAUCCUUCUUGUUGAGUUUAAAGAGAUUUUGGUAUAUUCUGGAUAUCAGCCCUUUAUCAGUGUGUCCCUGCCCUUCACCUGCAGCACUGGAGUUGUCCUUUGGGUCUCAGUGGAGUGUCAGCUCUUCAAAGAGGUUCCCUGUCUUCCCUCAGCCUAAAUACUGUCCUUGUAUUUUUCACUUUCAUUGACACAUUUUGUUCUUUUUAAAUAGCAUUUCCCAUAAUUUGUAAGUACAUUAAAAAAGGGGCAAUGAUUGAACACCACCUCCCCCACCAGGCUGUGUGCCCUGUGAGAGCAGAGGCCCUGUCCCCACUCACCGUUUCCCAUGACAGCACAUGGCACAUGUCCAUGUAAAAGUGUGUAACAUGGGGCCAAACCUGAUGAGCAGCUAUGACGACAUUUGUUGGCUACCAUUUAUUGAGUAGACUUUGUUUCUGAUCUUAAUUAUUAAAUCACAUGAAUGAAACUUGUUUGUUUUGAAAAAUAAAACAACAAAGCACACCUCCAUUUGAUUGGUACUUUCUAUUUAGCCUUCUGACCCAGGAGGGGAUGUUCACCAUCAUUUUGUGGAGGAGGUUGGGGAGGUAAAGUAAGAGAGUGAGAUCAAAUAAAGUAAAAAUGAUAACUAUCAGUUGGCUUUAUUUUCACUAAGACAUAAAAGUUACUUUAAACCCUA